AACGCGAAGAACCUUACCGGGGCUUGACAUCCUGCGCUAUCCUAGGAGACUAGGUUUCCGGGCAACCGGACGCAGAGACAGGUGCUGCAUGGCUGUCGUCAGCUCGUGCCGUGAGGUGUUGGGUUAAGUCCCGCAACGAGCGCAACCCUUGCCGUGUGUUGGUCGCAAGAUCUCUCACGCGGGACCGCCGGUGACAAGCCGGAGGAAGGUGGGGAUGACGUCAAGUCAGCAUGGCCCUUACGUCCCGGGCUACACACGUGCUACAAUGGGAGGGACAACGAGUCGCGAACCCGCGAGGGCAAGCUAAUCUCACAAACCCUCUCUCAGUUCGGAUUGAAGGCUGCAACUCGCCUUCAUGAAGUCGGAAUCGCUAGUAACCGUAGAUCAGCUACGCUGCGGUGAAUACGUUCCCGGGCCUUGUA
rnacentral:rRNA from 3 species